rnacentral:lncRNA from 1 species
CGCCAGGAAAGCUUCGCCUGGGCUCCUACGGGAGCCGGGCUCCGCCGCCAAAAAAGCCGGGCUCCAUCCGCUACUUCGCCAGCAAGGGUUAAGAAUGGUGGCGAGGCUUGGCCACAUGACGAGAUCGGAUGGAAGGGAAGAGCCCCUUCCCAUGACGACCUCUAAGCCAAACAGGCCAAACGACGAGAAAGGGUCAACGAACGACAAUAUUGGUGCUACGCGCGGACAAGGUAACACAAAAUACUUUUUCCUCAUUUUCGAUAUAUGUACUACAGGGCCAGGACGGCC